rnacentral:rRNA from 1 species
GGCCGGUUGAUUAUAAUUUCAGGUCUAACCUGCCCAGUGAUUUAUUAAAUGGCUGCAGUAAUUUGACUGUACAAAGGUAGCAUAAUCAAUAGUUUCUUAAUUAGAAGCUGGAAUGAAGGGUUUUUUAAGAAAAGUUCUGUCUCUUUUAGAGUUUAGUAAAAUUUUAUUUUUAAGUGAGAAAGCUUAAAUUUUCAUUGAAGACGAGAAGACCCUGUAGAGUUUAAUUUUUUAAUUUGCUUUGAUUUUUUAGCUAAGAGAAUUGCUGAGAAUUAAUUAAUUUUAUUGGGGUGAUGGAAAAAUUAGACAAACUUUUUUUUUAUUCAUGCAUUUAUUUAUGGAUAAAGGAUCCUUAUUUUAGGAUAAAAGAAUAAAUUACCUCAGGGAUAACAGCGUAAUUUUCUUUGGAGUUCAUAUCUAAGAGAAAGAUUGCGACCUCGAUGUUGGAUUAAAAUAAAUUUCUGGUGCAGAAGCUGGAAUAUUAGGUCUGUUCGACCUUUAAAAUUUUACAUGAUCUGAGUUUAGACCGGCGUGAG